rnacentral:rRNA from 1 species
AUUGAACGCUGGCGGCAGGCCUAACACAUGCAAGUCGAACGAGUGGCGGACGGGUGAGUAAUGUCUGGGAAACUGCCUGAUGGAGGGGGAUAACUACUGGAAACGGUAGCUAAUACCGCAUACCAUCGGAUGUGCCCAGCUGGGAUUCGCUAGUAGGUGGGGUAAAGGCUCACCUAGGCGACGAUCCCUAGCUGGUCUGAGAGGAUGACCAGCCACACUGGAACUGAGACAGUGUCCAGACGCAUGCGGGAGGCAGCAGUGGGGAAUAUUAGACAAUGGGGGGAAGCCUGAUGCAGCCAGGCGGCGUGUAUGAAGAAGGCCUUCGGGUUGAAAAGUACUUUCAGCGGGGAGGCGUUACCCGAAGAAGAAGCACAGGCUAACUCCGUGCCAGCAGCCGCGGUAAUAC